rnacentral:rRNA from 1 species
UACCAGACUCCUACGGGAGGCAGCAGUGGGGAAUAUUGCACAAUGGGGGAAACCCUGAUGCAGCGACGCCGCGUGAGUGAAGAAGUAUUUCGGUAUGUAAAGCUCUAUCAGCAGGGAAGAAAAUGACGGUACCUGACUAAGAAGCCCCGGCUAACUACGUGCCAGCAGCCGCGGUAAUACGUAGGGGGCAAGCGUUAUCCGGAUUUACUGGGUGUAAAGGGAGCGUAGACGGCAGCGCAAGUCUGAAGUGAAAUCCCAUGGCUUAACCAUGGAACUGCUUUGGAAACUGUGCAGCUGGAGUGCAGGAGAGGUAAGCGGAAUUCCUAGUGUAGCGGUGAAAUGCGUAGAUAUUACGCAGAACUCCGAUUGCGAAGGCAGCAUACCGGCGCCCGACUGACGCUGAGGCACGAAAGCGUGGGGAUCGAACAGGAUUAGAUACCCGCGUA